AUUGAACGCUGGCGGAAUGCUUUACACAUGCAAGUCGAACGGCAGCACGGGUGCUUGCACCUGGUGGCGAGUGGCGAACGGGUGAGUAAUACAUCGGAACGUACCCAGUCGUGGGGGAUAACGUAGCGAAAGUUACGCUAAUACCGCAUACGUCCUGAGGGAGAAAGCGGGGGACCGUAAGGCUUCGCGCGGUGGGAGCGGCCGAUGGCGGAUUGGCUAGUUGGUGGGGUAAAGGCCUACCAAGGCGACGAUCCGUAGCGGGUCUGAGAGGACGGCCCGCCACAUUGGAACUGAGACACGGUCCAGACUCCUACGGGAGGCAGCAGUGGGGAAUUUUGGACAAUGGGCGAAAGCCUGAUCCAGCCAUUCCGCGUGAGUGAAGAAGGCCUUCGGGUUGUAAAGCUCUUUCGGCAGGGAAGAAACGGCUUGGGAUAAUACCCCGGGCUAAUGACGGUACCUGAAGAAGAAGCACCGGCUAACUACGUGCCAGCAGCCGCGGUAA
rnacentral:rRNA from 1 species